GAAGAAAUUCUUUACAGAGAGGGUAAUGAGUCAUUGGAAUGGGCUGCCCAGGGAAGUGGUGGAUUCUCCAUCUGUGGAGAUUUUUAGGAUGAGGCUGGAUGUGACAGUGCCAUGGUCUAAUAACCACUGCAGCAGUGGACCAAGGGUUGGACUUGAUGAUCUCAGAGGCCCCUUCAAACCCAGCUGAUUCUGUGAUUCUGUGAUUCUAUGAUCCUAUGAUUCUAUGAUUCUAUGACUGAAUACUUCCACUCUUUCAGAGUCACCUGAAGCUACAAAAGGCCCCAGUGACUUCAAGUUGCACUUGCACAACAAAAUACACAUCAAACACACUUAGGAACCACUUAGAUCCUAUAAUGGAAGCUAAUAAUUAUGAUCUAUGUCAUUGGUAUCAAAUCCUAUAUUUAUUUGUGUAAGGCUUCUUAUUACGAUUUUCAGUCACUUGUAGAUUUGACAGGUCUUAAUCAUCGAGGUUGUGUUCUUGUGCAUAAAUUGCCUGAAAAGAGUUUACUGGUAAUUCUCUGAACUCUCUUAACACUUGUAUGAUGAUUUCCUUGUUUGGAAAAAUCCAAGAUUCAGAAGUUCCUCAAAGAACAAAGGUCUCUCAAAGAACAAUUUUUUUCUUGAAGAGCAAAGGAGGUGAGGUAAUGGAACUGCUUCAACCUUUCUUUAAUAUUUUUCUCCUAAGUUGAUUUGCAUGGUACGUUAAACUAAAAGCUAUUGACUUGAUGUUCAAUCUAGUUCUUUGAGGUAUGCUGGAUGCUGUUCAAUAUUAAGCAUUUAUGUUGUAUCAGAUGCUUUGUUUUUGAUGCACCUCUGAGUUGGGCAAUGUGCCAUGAACAGUGAAGAAGUGAACCUAGCAAAAAUAAUUGCGUGGAAGUUCCUGAGGAUGGGAGACAAGGGACCAGUCUCAUUACCGCAAAUUUAGAGCUAUACUUUAACAUAGUUGAGAACUCUCCUUAUCGUCUAUGGCCUUAUAACAUUGUCCUAGGAAGCACUCAGACUUUGUUCUCCCUGUUUUCAGGAAGAGCUGGCUAGAGAGCUGGGUCAAAGGUGCAAGGGGUCAGUAUGGCAGCCCAAAGCCUGCCAAAAGCUCCCUCCAGCCAGUCCUGUCCUCAUCUACCCUCUGGCUCCCUUCAUGUUGCCUAAGCCGUCAUCCUUGAUCUCUCCUCAUUAGGUGCAUGUGCACCACAUCACCUCUUUCUUAGCCCUUUAUUCCCUCUUAAGCAUUACUUUAUAUCUCACAUCUGCACAGAGUUCCCUUGCAACGUGUCCCCCGCACUUUUACCAUUGACAGGAGAUAUUUUCUUCUCAGAGCUCCCUCACUAUUUCCCAUUUAUCAUCCAGUUAAAUUACCUAAAAAUCUAUCAGUCAAGAAGUAGCAGAUAAUAAACUCCAAAUGACCCACCCAUACAGUGUUUGCUGUCACAUUUGUGUUUAUUGCUGGAGAGAUGAUGCUUGAAAAGGGAGAGCAGAAUUAGGUGCAAAAAUACAGACAGUGGCAUAAAAAUUUUGCAGGCACCUUCUGGUGCAGAAGAAAGUGCAAUGCCCCUAAUUAUCUUCUUAGAUUAAUUACAAUGGAAAUUUUAACGUAUGUAACCUUAAAAAAAAAAAAAGGUGCAAAAAAAAAGGGCACCAAAAAACCCUCAACAAACAAACAAGCAAACAAACAAAAAACUAAACCAGUUGCAAACUCGGUAUUCCAAAUCAAAACUGUUUAUAUUAUGUAAUGUCUAGAAGGGACAGCAUACAUGAGAUGUGUUUGAAAUUAUGUGGUACCUGUACUGUAAUUUAAAAGACAUUAAUAAGGUUUAACUAAAGAAUAAUUCCAUAAAAGCUAGAGAAAUACCCUGGAUUCCUGUUGAGCAAAUAACUCCACUGUAUGCAUUUGGUGACUCAUCACUGCAAGCAGUAACGGCCUCUAAGUGGAAACCCAGGGAAAUCAGAUUGCACCAUCCAGCAUACUGAAAGAAUGUACUGUUACUAGAGAGCACUAAAUAAUCAGAUAAAAAAUAAUGUUGUUAUAUAACUAUUGCAGGAUCAUGUACUUUCAUUUCCAUGCCAAAAAAAUAAAAGGAGACUAAAUGUAUUCGUGAAAGGGUAUCUGACAGAUGUCCCAGAAGUUAUCUGAACAGUCAGGUAGCAUCUGCAGCAAGCAGUAUGCAGAGAGAAAAAAAUUUGUGUUAAUAUUGGCUCUUGCUAUUUUUCCUUAUUUCAAAAUACAUGGAGAUUGUAAAAAUUCUUCCAACUUACUUAGUGCAUUUUUAAACCAUAUCAACUUAGAUGAACCUAACACAUCCUCAUUGAAGUUUAAGUUAGAGGUUUAGAACCACUGUCUACAUGAAACAAACAAACAAAUACCUUAUCGUAUGUUUGUAAUGUUCCAGAUUUAGAUUAUCUGUAUCCACAGCUUUCAUUUUCCUAAAAACAUAUUUGCAAUAUGGAUAAACCACUUAUGAGGCAACAACCAUCAGUUGAACCUACCUUUUUUGCAAGAGUAUCUCUAAUUAUACUCUUGAAAUGAAAGGCAGAGUCACUGCAGAUCCUUAUCAUUUGGCUGUUAGGAAGCCUUUGCUCAUGCUCUGGGACAGCUUUCAGUUACGCUUGGAAAAAUCUUGGCUUUUUUGGGCUAGCACAAGACUCCAGCCUGGAAAGCUCCACCACUCCUGGCCAUGUCUUCAGCAGUACUGCAUGAACAACACUCAGCACGUCUUGCUUUCACUCUGAAAUUGUCCACUUUCCAUUUCCAACACCUGUAUCUGUUUAUUAUGCACUGCUGAGUGUCCUAUUAUCAAAAUGUCAUUCCCCAUACAACCACAGAUCAGCUUAACUGCUUGUUUCCCUUGAACAGCAAAGGAACAACAGUCUUUCAUCCCAGAUUUUGUUUAAAUUCAUGACACCAAAUUGAAGAAAAAUGAUUUUUGGAAUUCAGUAUAUUACACUGAUGUUGACAAAAGUCAUAUGUUCAAGUAUAUAUUGAAUUAGUUAAUGUUAAUUUUAUUGCCAUUAUAAAUUGUCCUCCUUCAUUGUUUAUUAAGAGACAUUUAUGUUGUCCACUCCCCAAUUGGUAUGAUAUAGCCAAAAGGUUUACAUCUGCCUUGCAAUCAUAUUUAUUCCCUGAAAUUCAGGCAAAAAUAUUAACUUUUUUUUUUAAAAGGUAUUUUAAAAUUAACAUUAAUGACUAGAAGAUCCCCUAUACAGCUCUUUAGGUAUUUUAAGCAGAAAGCAUAGCUACCUAAUCAAAGAAUUGGUGAGCAAUAAACAUUUAAGAAACCAAAUUAUCAAAGACAGACAAUAAGCAAGUUUUGAUGGAUAAACUUCUUUUUUUUCAAAGACGUAUUUUCAGGAAAAAAACCCAAACACUUCCUCCUAAAUCAUUUAUGUUGGUACAUCAUAAUAUCAUUUUAUGAGAAAAUCCAGGAGAAAGGAAAAGCAGAAGAAAUACAUGAAAGAUUUUUCCCUUGAGAUAUUUCCAUAAUUAUUUUAUGGCAAAAAGCUGUAUGGGAGUGAGGUGAAGUGAUGUGCUUUGGAGCUGCUCUUUGAAGCUUUCAGCAGCAAGUGGCUUCCUCCUCAGCAUGUGUUUUAAAUGUUGUGCUGGAUUACAGUCCACCUGCACAGAACUGUUCUGACCUUUUUACCCUUCCAAUAUUUUAAACAUUUGACCUGCUUUCCUUUCUGCAGUUUUGCUUCCGAGAAUACUCUUGAAAUAAUUAUGUAAAUGCCAUCUUAAUGCAUUUUCACUGCCACGUGCAUUUUCAGCUCCCUUAUGAUGUUAUCUUUUCAGAAUGCCAGAAAAACGUGAACCAGAUGUGCUGAACACAAAAUACCACAGCAGGGAUUUCCCUCACAGCAAUCAUGGUAUGCAAGUUCUUAGAGGCUUGUCAUGAAGCAAUAGGGCUAUUUUUAGUGCAAGAACAUAACACAGGUAAUAGAGUUUGAAGUUAAGUAUAUGAAGGAUAUAUAUACAUAUUUACUGUGCUGAAUAACACUGGUGUGCAAGGAAACACUUCAAUGAUGAAAGAAAAUCUAACACAAAAUUUCCUUGAUGUUCUAAAAUUUGCCACUUGUAUUAUGGAUUUCUUUAAUAUUCAUAGGUAGCUUAUUUUCUGCAUUCAUUUAUGAGUACAGUAAAAAGGUGAAUAGCAGAAGUUGAGCUGUAGACUGUUGGCAUCCCACAUAAUUGUAUAUUGACAUUCAUUAGUCAGUUGACUCUUGAAAUUGCACUAACAGACUAAACACCAGUUCUAUAUUUGAUUGCUGAAGACCUUUGGUUUAGACCUCCUGGGUGAAAGCACAACCAAGUCUUUUAGUCGAAGUGUCUGUUGCUUGUGACAAUUUGUUUAUGUGUGUUGGACUCGUUCCUAAAUAACAUCAUCUUUUUGCAAUCCCACUCCAUAGUCAAAACUGAGAAUAGUACUGGCUCAUUUCUGUUACUCCUCAGCAAAGAAGCUUGUUUCUAUCACUCUUCUUUAUUAUUUUGCAGCUUGCUUGCUUAUUAUUUUGCAGCACUGCAACAGCACCAGUUCUGUGGACCCUCCCACGGGACCCUAAGACCUGACUUGCAUCUUGCCUGCAACCUUUGAGGCAAACUGGAACUGCAGAGAUUCAUCGUAUCAUCUAGACCUAUAGGACUGGACACUCCUGUUCAUCUGUUCCAGCCCAGGAACUGAGCCUAUGCCAAACAGCGGGACUGAAACCCCUGCAAACCAAACAUAAGGAACUGUUUCAAACUCAGCUGACCAUCUCCAUCGUGGUCAGAAAUUGUUAGCAAAGACCCUGAAUUCACUACCGAGAAGGAAAAAACCUCUGUUCCUGAGACAAGUGAAACAACAGAGACUGUUACACAGUUAGAUGUCAAAAUUAUGUUUAAACUAUUUUUCUAUGUGUAUUGUUUAAUACCACCAGUAACUAUGAAUUGGGUUUAGAAGCAAAAUUUAGAUUUGGCUUUAGUAAAAUGCACCCAAUAUUCUUCAUGAAAGUGAGUGCUAGAUUUGCACUAUGAAUUCGGCUGAAAUUUGGCAACAAGUUUAAGUUCUACAUUGGGCAACUCCUGAGGAUGUCUCAUUAGGUUUACAGAGAUACCUUCUAUAAACUUAUUUCACGGUUACCAAAUCUGAACCUGGAUAAAACAGCUAUUCAUUAGUUGUAUAUUGUGUUAGAUCCCCAUAAUAGCUUGUUGUAUGAUUAGUGUUGCAAGUAUUAGUAAUCUUACCAGUAUGGUGUUAAUUAUAAGUGGCAGAGGCUAGACAAGAUUGAGGUCUUGUCAAACCUCUAAAAGGGGGCACUGGUGCCUAUAGAUUUUUUGAUUUUUGGCUUUUUGUAGAUUUUAGAAGUAGCUGUAUUAUAUCCCUUACCCUUAGCACGGUAGUUUACACAUUUACCCAACACGGUCACCCCAUUUUUGCAGCUGCUUGCUUAAUGCAGUGACCAGUGCUGAAGAAUCAGACUGGAACUGAGGCCCUUAACCAGUCCUGAAGUUCAUGGGAUGGAGCAGGGCUCUGCAGACAGCCAUGUAUCCAAGUCUUUUGCCCAGUAAUGUCAAUGGCAACUGAACUGCCCCAUUUUUUCUUCUGCAUUAAAUCCACAUCCAGACAUAAAAACCAGUAAGAAUAUCAAUAACAGCUGCAGAGUGACUACAGUUCCUACUGUGAUUUGACCCAAUGAAUUAUAAGGUGAGGCAGUGGUGGCACCUAUGGUUCCAUGUAAAUCUUCUCAGUCACUCAUCAUUUGUGAAGAGGUAUUUAUCAUUAUUGCCUCUCAGACUUUGGUGGGUUUUUUUAAAUGGUAUGAGUAGUGUGAACACAAAGAGUACAAAAAAUAUCAAAAUUUGUAGGGGAUUGCCAGCAAAAUUGUAGUUUGACUCAAUGGAUUAAACUCUUAAACAUAUAAAGUUAAAGCAUUAUUUUACAGAUUUUUGCAGAGACAUUGAAAGCUUCUGCUUAGUGGCUUCAUUCUACAUUUUUUUACUUUCACUUCUUAAUUAUGUUUAUACUGGGCCUGAGCCUUGCCCCAUAAAACCUGCCACAGACUUGGAUGGUUAUUCUAUCUUUUGACAAAAUAUUGGACUUGGCUGCGAGCUCCCAUGCAUCUGCCAUUUGACCUCUGUGAAUUAUAGCUUGAUUAGAUAUGCCAGGUCUUAUUAGCUUAAUGGUAGCUGCAUUAGAAAAGUCUGCACUCAAGUACACAGAUUUCUUUUAUUGUUCAUGGCUUAAAUUCUGUUGAAACUUCUCAGGGUUGCUCUUAGCAACAAGACUAAACUUUAAGCAAAACUGGUGAAAAGACACUGAGAUGGACUAGUUAGUCUGUAGUAGAGUGUCCUCAGACCACAGUUUUCAUAUCUUCAAUAGGAUGAAAUUUUCUAAGGCUAAAAGAACAAUUUUUAGCACUUUUUAUAAUCUGCUAUAACCCUAUGCAUUUGUAUCAUACAAAUUUCUAAACUUAGUUCUGGUUAUAUCACUAUAAUAAAGCCUAAACAUGUUUCUGAAUUGGUGUUGAACAUACCUGAUUUAGACUAAUGUAAUUGCUGUGGCCAAUGCUUGUUUAUGAAGAAAAGAGAAAAAGCAUUGCUGCGGACUGUGAAUCAGUGACUAAUCAAUGCUGAGAGGUUUGAUAGGGGUUUGACGUGGCUCUGAUAGACUGGCAAGAAUAAUUUAGAUAGAUGAUGUAGCAUGGAUGCAUGGAUUGCAGCAUGGAUGGAUGGGAAUACAUCAAAUUCUGAUUCUCUGAGAUCACUGGCAAAAUUCCCACUGAAUUAAGUAGAACCAGAACUUCAGCCUACAUAUUAAUGUGUACACUUAUGGGGGGGGGAGGGAAGAUGUAUUAAAUUUACAAUUCUAGCUCACAGAAUUUGGGCAAAUCAAAAGUCAUAAUCCUGUGCAACUUUUGCUCUGUUUUUUUUAUGCAAACACCUUCUGACACAGUCUCUGCUAACACUGCUACACAAUAUUAUUUCCGUGGUAUCUCUAUCUGGCUUGAAGGGAAGAGAUUCACAGGUACAGGCUAUAAUAAUAACUACAAGGUUUAAAAAAUAUUCGUAGUAGAAACAGUCAGCUUAGAACCAAAUUAUAAGGGUUGCUGGAUAACAUAUGAUUCUCCAAGUCACAAAAACAUCUUUCAGUUGUCUUCAGAAAACACCUCUGAAACCAAAUCCACAUUCCAACAAGUCUGGCUUGAUUUCAAGCCUCAAGGCAACACUUCUAGUGCCUCUCUUUUGUCCCUUUUCUCCAAUCCCUGACUUCACAGAUAACCUAUAAGGGAGCCUUAAGCAGAAGCUGAGAGUAGGCUAAGAGGAGCCUGGGGAACACAGAGAAGAGCAUGGUCUGAGAGGGCAGACUAUGCAGAAAGGAAAUGAGAUAUUUCUUAAGCUGAUCUGGUUCUCCAAGCACUUUCCUCACUGCCAGGGGACACUGGCUGUGGCAGCCUCCACAGCCCUCACCUUGUGCUGCUCAACAGUCAAGAUGUGUUUUGCUGGGCCACUAGGGCUGGAAAUAGCUUUUUCCUUUGUAGGCAAACAAGCUGUGCUUGCUUUUCCUUCUUUGAUUUGAAAUAAAUAGCAUUUUAAUGUUGCAUACUAAUAAAACUUAACGUAGAAAAAAACAUGCUUGCAGAUGCUGAGAUGUGCUGACCAUUCUAUUAACUUUUUUGCACUUUUCCUGCAGAAGUUGUUUCUGUCAAUUUAUUUUUAUUUCAGCUGAGCAAAAUGGGAAGGAAAAAGCAGGUUGACACAGAUGGUUGUCAGCCAAGUGAUGACUGCAGCCGAGAAUGAAUGAACAAAAAUAUACAGUUUGCUAAACUGUGUAUUGUUUAGCUUCCCUGUGUAUCAAAUGUCAAAAGAAAUAAAAUUUGCAGAAUAUAUUUAGUAUCCUUUUUUUAA